UUUUCAUAUGAUGUAAACAAAAAGUAAAUAUUUAUCUGUUGCCAACUUUUGAAAAAAUUAGUUUAUUUUCAAUAGCAGGGAACACUAGCACAGAAAAAACUUCCGAAUAGCUGCUUUUUUCUGUCGUUGAAUGUUAUUAAGAAGCAUGGAUCCUAAAGCGGUAAGAAGCAUGGAUCCUAAACAUACUCUAAACUCCAUGUUAAGAAGCCACCUAUCCAAAUCUCAUAACAUUGAAAAUGUGGAAGAAAAGGAAGAGCACCAAUUUGAUUCUUUUAACAAGUUUUUUGCAAUGGAAAGAGGCAAUUGAGGUUCAAUUCAGGUCAUCUUACUAUUCUAGUGGUUCAAUUAUUUUGGCAAAUGGUUGUAAAAAGCGAAGUAUCAGCGAAGAGUGAAUUAGCAAAUAUAUGAGAAGCACCAGAGCAUCCAGGUGGGCCAUCACGCACAAAGUGUUCUUUGUAUUUGACACGUGGAAAAAUCAUCAUCGGAGGAACUGCUGUGCCAGCUGCAUUGACUGCAGCACAGAUGAAAAAAUUUCGGAUGGAAUUUCAUUGAAGCAGUUGUUGAAUGAUGUUAGAAACUCUUUGACAGACAGUUUUGAAAGAAUCCAUCUCUUGACAAGGCAAGAUUUAAGAAAUAUUGGCAAUGCCAAUUGCCUUUUUAAAACAGAAAGUCGUCACGAAAAUGACUCUAUUAGUGUAGA